rnacentral:misc_RNA from 1 species
AAGUCGUAACAAGGUUUCCGUAGGUGAACCUGCGGAAGGAUCAUUAAAUUCAGUAGCUUGCUACUGUUAGGGGGGGUCUAUUAGUCUGUAUAGUAUCACUACUGAUGAGCAGCACGACCCUCUGUCCUAUACCCUUGUCUUUUGCGCACUCAUGUUUCCUCGGCGGCUUGAUACCCGCCGGCUGGAUCAAUCUAUAACCUUUUUAAUUUUCAAUCAGCGUCUGAAAAACCUAAUAAUUACAACUUUCAACAACGGAUCUCUUGGUUCUG